AGUGAACGCUGGCGGUAGGCCUAACACAUGCAAGUCGAACGGCAGCACAGUAAGAGCUUGCUCUUACGGGUGGCGAGUGGCGGACGGGUGAGGAAUACAUCGGAAUCUACUUUUUCGUGGGGGAUAACGUAGGGAAACUUACGCUAAUACCGCAUACGACCUACGGGUGAAAGCAGGGGAUCUUCGGACCUUGCGCGAUUGAAUGAGCCGAUGUCGGAUUAGCUAGUUGGCGGGGUAAAGGCCCACCAAGGCGACGAUCCGUAGCUGGUCUGAGAGGAUGAUCAGCCACACUGGAACUGAGACACGGUCCAGACUCCUACGGGAGGCAGCAGUGGGGAAUAUUGGACAAUGGGCGCAAGCCUGAUCCAGCCAUACCGCGUGGGUGAAGAAGGCGUUCGGGUUGUAAAGCCCUUUUGUUGGGAAAGAAAAGCAGCAGGUUAAUACCCCGCUGUUCUGACGGUACCCAAAGAAUAAGCACCGGCUAACUUCGUG
rnacentral:rRNA from 1 species